GAAAUGUUACGCAUGGCCUUAUCUUGUAUUUAGGAAAAAGCCCAAGCUCAAUAUUACAUAUAGUAUUCCUUUCCUCUAAAUUAAUCUCAAAGAGAACUACAGAGCAGAUAAUUUUUUGGGGGUU